UGGGGAAUUUUGGACAAUGGGCGCAAGCCUGAUCCAGCCAUGCCGCGUGCGGGAAGAAGGCCUUCGGGUUGUAAACCGCUUUUGUCAGGGAAGAAAUCUUCUGAGUUAAUACCUCGGGAGGAUGACGGUACCUGAAGAAUAAGCACCGGCUAACUACGUGCCAGCAACCGCGGUAAUACGUAGGGUGCAAGCGUUAAUCGGAAUUACUGGGCGUAAAGCGUGCGCAGGCGGUUUUGUAAGACAGAGGUGAAAUCCCCGGGCUCAACCUGGGAACUGCCUUUGUGACUGCAAGGCUUGAGUGCGGCAGAGGGGGAUGGAAUUCCGCGUGUAGCAGUGAAAUGCGUAGAUAUGCGGAGGAACACCGAUGGCGAAGGCAAUCCCCUGGGCCUGCACUGACGCUCAUGCACGAAAGCGUGGGGAGCAAACAGGAUUAGAUACCCUGGUAGUCCACGCCCUAAACGAUGUCAACUGGUUGUUGGGAAGGUUCCUUCUCAGUAACGUAGCUAACGCGUGAAGUUGACCGCCUGGGGAGUACGGCCGCAAGGUUGAAACUCAAAUGAAUUGACGGGGU
rnacentral:rRNA from 1 species